AGGAUUUAUGGACAGAAGGAAGACCACAGCAGUGUUUGCAAGAGUCCCAUAAAGAAUGCUGAGUCCAGAGAGAAAAUAAAUACUGCUCACACUUUAGGGAGGAAAAUGAACAAAAGCAGUGUAUGAGGAAAAAUAAACAGAGAGGCUUUUUUCUUUCUUAUUUCAGGCCUUCUACAUAGCAGGGAGACAUUGAAUCAAACAUGCAGAGGAAAACUACCUCCAAACUAGACGGCCAAUCAGGGUGUGUAUUGUCUCAGCAAACAUCAUGCCACUGG